rnacentral:rRNA from 1 species
ACAUACAAUAAGCGGAGGAAAAGAAACCAACAGGGAUCGCUUAGUAACGGCGAGUGAAGCGGCAACAGCUCAAAUUUGAAAGCUGGCUCCUUUGGAGUCCGCGUUGUAAUUUGUAGAGGAUGAUUCGGCAAGGGCUCCCGCCUAAGUCUCCUGGAACGGAGCGUCAUAGAGGGUGAGAAUCCCGUAUGCGGUGGGCUGCCUAAGCCAUGUGAAUCUCCUUCGACGAGUCGAGUUGUUUGGGAAUGCAGCUCUAAAUGGGAGGUAAAUUUCUUCUAAAGCUAAAUACCGGCCAGAGACCGAUAGCGCACAAGUAGAGUGAUCGAAAGAUGAAAAGCACUUUGGAAAGAGAGUUAAAAAGUACGUGAAAUUGUUGAAAGGGAAGCGCUUGCAGCCAGACUUGUCCGCAGUUGCUCAGCCGGUCUCCUGACCGGUGUACUCUUCUGCGGCCAGGCCAGCAUCAGUUCGGGCGGUCGGAUAAAGACCUCGGGAAUGUAGCUCCUCUCGGGGAGUGUUAUAGCCCGGGGUGGAAUGCGGCCAGCCUGGACUGAGGAUCUCGCUUCGGCUAGGAUGCUGGCGUAAUGGCUGUAAGCGGCCCGUCUUGAAACACGGACCAAGGAGUCUAACAUCUAUGCGAGUGUUUGGGUGUCAAACCCAUGCGCGUAAUGAAAGUGAACGGAGGUGGGAACCCUCACGGGUGCACCAUCGACCGAUCCUGAUGUCUUCGGAUGGAUUUGAGUAAGAGCAUAGCUGUUGGGACCCGAAAGAUGGUGAACUAUGCCUGAAUAGGGUGAAGCCAGAGGAAACUCUGGUGGAGGCUCGCAGCGGUUCUGACGUGCAAAUCGAUCGUCAAAUUUGGGUAUAGGGGCGAAAGACUAAUCGAACCAU